rnacentral:rRNA from 1 species
AUUGAACGCUGGCGGCAGGCUUAACACAUGCAAGUCGAGCGGUAACAGAGAGAAGCUUGCUUCUCUGCUGACGACCGGCGGACGGGUGAGCAAUGCCUAGGCAUCUGCCUAGUAGUGGGGGAUAACUUGCCGAAAGGUAAGCCAAUACCGCAUAGGUCCUACGGGAGAAAGGAGGGGACCUUCGGGCCUUACGCUCUUAGAUGAGCCUAGGUCGGAUUAGUUAGUUGGUGAGGUAAUGGCUCACCAAGACCGCGAUCCGUAACUGGUCUGAGAGGAUGAUCAGUCACACUGGGACUGAGACACGGUCCAGACUCCUACGGGAGGCAGCAGUGGGGAACAUUGGACAAUGGGGGGAACCCUGAUCCAGCCAUGCCGCGUGUGUGAAGAAGGUCUUAGGAUUGUAAAGCACUUUAAGUUGGGAGGAAGAGCAGUUAACUAAUAUUUGACUGUUUUGACGUUACCGACAGAAUAAGCACCGGCUAACUUCGUGCCAGCCGCCGCAGUAA